GUUAAUUUAUCCCGGAGAAGGAGUAAAAAAAGACAGGAUGGAAAUUGAAAAUGCUCGUCCAUAUUUCUUUGGAGACAUCGGCUGCUGGUCAGAGAGAACAGAGGUGCACAAGGCGGCGUCCCUCGGCCAGACCUCCCAGCUGCAGCGUCUCAUCCAAAGCGGAGCUUCAGUCAAUGUGGUGGCGGUGGACUCCAUCACGCCGCUGCACGAGGCCUGCGUCCGCGGACAGGCCCAGUGUGUCCGGCUGCUACUGGAUGCUGGAGCCCAGGUGGAUGCGAGGAACGUAGACGGGAGCACCCCGCUGUGUGACGCCUGUUCGGCUGGUAGUUUGGAGUGUGUUAGGCUCCUGCUGGAUCAUGGUGCCAAGACCAACCCCGCCCUCACCUCCCGCACGGCCUCGCCCCUCCACGAGGCCUGCAUGGGAGGAAACUCUGACUGUGUCAAGCUCCUGAUCGCCAUGGGUGCUUGCCUGGAGGCGUACGACCUUUACUACGGGACCCCGCUGCAUGUGGCUUGUGCUAACGAACACACAGACUGUGUUAAAGAGCUGCUCAAUGCAGGUGCUAAAGUGAAUGCAGCCAGGCUACAUGAGACUCCGCUGCACCACGCUGCUAAAAACACACAAGUUGAGACGGUAAAGAUACUGGUGGAGUUCGGGGCAAACGUCUACGCUCGAGAUCAGCACAACAGGAAACCUGUGGAUUACACCACGCCCGGCUCUCCCUCUGCAACCUGCCUACACUUUUACGAGACCACCCCCAUGAACCUGCAGCAGCUCAGCAGGCUGGCAGUGAGGAAGACGCUGGGCACCAGAGCUCUGGAGGUCAUCGUUCAACUCAACGCACCAAAACUCAUCAUCAGCUACCUCUGCUAUCAGUGAGUGGCACCCGGAGGACGACUAGUCCUGGGAGAAAAACACAGCAAAGGUGUCCAAGCUUCUCCCAGCAUGCUUUUCUGAGCAGCUGAUCGGGGUUUAGAGUAGGAAGACUGAUGAGCAGAGUGUGGAUGCUGCUAGGAGGCACUUGGUCCAGUGUUGUAAAGAUAAGGGCUUGCCAAACCCACAGUAUGGAGACACUGCAACACCGUAAGUCAUCCCUGGGGGAAAUAUCCAGAACAAUCCACCAGAUGUUUUGGAAAAUAGAGAUUAAAAGUGAGAAAAGAAAGCAAAUACUCCCUGCUCCUUAUUGGUUAUAAUGAUUGAUUCUAUAAGGUGUAUGAUCACAGUGUAGUACUAGAUACCAAAUUUCUCUCCAAAAACAAAUGAUUUCAGAGUACCAGGAUACAUUACUGCAUGUUUGGGUCAUAUACUCAGUUUAUUCUCAGAGUCCUGUUCAACACUGAACACAGAUAUUUGUUUUAGUUUGAUCGUUAAACACACUUUACAGUUAAUGUCUCACACUCCUUUACGUCUUCGUCUGAAACGGAAACAUAUUUUAGAUCAUUGUUUUUUAUCAGUCACAUUUAGUCUUCUCUGUGUGUAUUCCUUAUAAUCAGGGCACGCUAUAAAGCACUACCCACAUGGAUUGGACUUAAAGUGAAUAUUUAAAUUGUGGUGUAGGGAUUUUAAAUAUUAUUAAGGUGUUUGGUUUUUAUGUUAAUCAUGUGCAUUGAUGUAAUCCUGAUUGAUCUGAUUAUAUAUUAUAUGGUAAGCUCUGACUUGGGAAGCACUUUGUAGAAGAAUCAUGAUUACUAUUAACAUAAUGAUUACUUUAUACCAGGGGUCUUCAAUGUUUUUUAA